UACGGAGGGUGCAAGCGUUAUCCGGAUUUACUGGGUUUAAAGGGUGCGUAGGCGGGUUGUUAAGUCAGUGGUGAAAGAUUCGAGCUCAACUCGAGAACUGCCAUUGAUACUGACGAUCUUGAAUAUAGUUGAGGUGGGCGGAAUGUGUCAUGUAGCGGUGAAAUGCUUAGAUAUGACACAGAACACCGAUUGCGAAAGGCAGCUUGCUAAACUAUUAAUUGACGCUGGAGGCACGAAAAGCGUUGGGGUAGCGAAACAGGG
rnacentral:rRNA from 1 species